UCCCCUCUUAUAUUUGUUUGCUUUAGGAAUAGCCCUUCUCUCCUCUCUUCCCUCUAACCAAGCCAAAAAUCAUUUUCAAAACUUUGACUUUAUUUCAAAUUAGAAACCUAGGCCUUAGGCCUUUGACUUUUCAAAACCAUUUUCAUAAAUACUCAUUGUAAAUAAACUUUAAUCCAACUUUGACCUCAUUUUGUAAAUAAAUUCAAUUUGUAAAUAUAACCCAUUUCAAGUUGUUUUGUGGUU
rnacentral:lncRNA from 1 species